GCCUGGGUGGCUCAGUGGUUGAGUGUCUGUCUUAGACUCAGGGCAUGAUCCUGGGGUCCUGGGAUUGAGUCCCACAUCAGGCU
rnacentral:tRNA from 1 species